GUAGGGAAUAUUGCGCAAUGGGGGAAACCCUGACGCAGCGACGCCGCGUGAGUGAUGAAGGCCUUCGGGUCGUAAAGCUCUGUCGCAUGGGAAAAAGAUCUGAUUGUACCAUGUAAGAAAGGAUCGGCUAACUUCGUGCCAGCAGCCGCGGUAAGACGAGGGAUCCUAGCGUUGUUCGGAAUCAUUGGGCGUAAAGCGGGUGUAGGUGGCCUAGUAAGUCAGGUGUGAAAGCCUGGGGCUUAACCCCAGAAGUGCACUUGAAACUGCUUGGCUUGAGUGUGGUAGAGGCUACUAGAAUUCCUGGUGUAGUGGUGAAAUACGUAGAUAUCAGGAGGAAUACCGGAGGCGAAGGCGGGUAGCUGGACCAACACUGACACUCAAACCCGAAAGCGUGGGGAUCAAACAGGAUUAGAUACCCCAGUAGUCC
rnacentral:rRNA from 1 species